CCUGGCUCAGAUUGAACGCUGGCGGCAUGCCUAACACAUGCAAGUCGAACGGCAGCACGGUCUAGUUUACUAGAUGGGUGGCGAGUGGCGGACGGGUGAGUAAUGCGCAGGAAUAUGCCUUAAAGUGGGGGACAACUUGGGGAAACUCAAGCUAAUACCGCGUAAUCUCUUAGGAGAAAAGCUGGGGACCUUCGGGCCUGGCGCUUUAAGAUUAGCCU
rnacentral:rRNA from 1 species